rnacentral:rRNA from 1 species
CUCAAGGGACCUCAGCAGUGAUAAAUAUUAAGCCAUAAGUGAAAACUUGACUUAGUUAAGGUUAAGAGGGCCGGUAAAACUCGUGCCAGCCACCGCGGUUAUACGAGAGGCCCAAGUUGACAAACAACGGCGUAAAGAGUGGUUAGGGAAUUUACUAAACUAGAGCCGAACGCUCUCAAAGCUGUUAUACGCACCCGAGAGUAUGAAACCCAAUUACGAAAGUAGCUCUACCUAUCCUGAACCCACGAAAGCUAAGGAACAAACUGGGAUUAGAUACCCCACUAUGCUUAGCCCUAAACAUCGAUUGCACCAUACACUCCAUAUCCGCCCGGGAAUUAUGAACGUCAGUUUAAAACCCAAAGGACUUGGCGGUGCUUAACAUCCACCUAGAGGAGCCUGUUCUAGAACCGAUAACCCCCGUUAAACCUCACCCCCUCUUGUUUUAUCCGCCUAUAUACCACCGUCGUCAGCUUACCCUGUGAAGGAUUUACAGUAAGCAAAAUUGGCACAGCCCAAAACGUCAGGUCGAGGUGUAGUGAAUGAGGGGGGAAGAAAUGGGCUACAUUUGCUAAAUAUAGCAAACACGAAUGUUGCAUUGAAACAUGCAGCUGAAGGAGGAUUUAGCAGUAAGCAGGAAGUAGAGCGUCCCGCUGAAACUGGCCCUAAAGCGCGCACACACCGCCCGUCACCCUCCCCAAGCCCCCUGAACGAAUCUAAUUAAGAGCCAACAACCCGCGA